GACGACCAGAGUUGGAAACCCAGUUGGCUACAAGGUGGUGCCUGCUGGAACUGCUGCUAACUUACUGGAUCCUCAAGAUCCUCCUCAGAUCAGAGGGGCCUUCACAAAGAAUCAGAUAUGGGUAACACCAUACAAUAAAAGCGAGGAAUGGGCUGGUGGACUCUUUGUGUACCAAAACCAAGGGGAAGACACAUUGGCUGUUUGGUCUGAUAGGGACCGGGCGAUCGAGAACAGGGACAUUGUGC
rnacentral:misc_RNA from 1 species